rnacentral:tRNA from 1 species
ACUUAAAUAGCUUAAAUUUAAAGCAUAAUAUUGAAGAUAUUAGUAUAAGUUGUACACUUUUUAAGUA